UCUACGACGAGACGCAUUUUC
rnacentral:piRNA from 1 species